GUGUCUGAUUGCUAGAGAAGCUCAUCAGGAAUUCAAAAAGCACUAUUGAAGGUUGUCCGAUAGAGGAGUCUGGAAAGUGUUGUAGGAGCUCGUCUACCGGAGGAGCUCGACUGGCACCUGUAAAAAGUCGAUGGCUUGGAGAGGUACAGAAGACAUCGGAGGCAGUCGGUUGCCAUAGAAAUCUAUCUGCUGGAGUCCGUCCGUUGCGAAAG
rnacentral:lncRNA from 1 species